CCAGAAGAGAGUGGCCGGAUUUCAAGUUCUCAGAACCAGCAGCAAAAGUUAAUUUAAUCACAAUUACAACUUAAAGAAUUCAUAAGCGCAGAGCCCCAUUUUACAGAUAAUCCUUUUGAAGUCGUGGCUGUCCAAUGAUAAGGAUUUUACUGCCUAGAACUUAUGGUAGAUCUACGAGAUUCUCUCUUGUAAAGAAUCCAAAUCUAACCUCUAAAUGUUGCUCCAACACUUCGAUGUCAUCAUCGCAUUAUGUUAGAGACAAUUGCAAUGCUUUCUUCUAUCAAUCUUGUGCUAAGAAAAAUCAUGAGUUGGUUACAAAAUGAUAGGUACAUAUCUUUAACUUACAACCAACUGAAGGCAGAUUACAUUUCUCUCGUUUGUUCAGCGACUGGCGAAGAGAUGCAAUCA